UGGCUUCAUCAGCCCAUGCACUGAAAAUGGAGCCAUACAGAUUAGCAUGGCCCCUGAGCAAGACUAACGUGCAGAGCCAUGAAGCAUCUCAUUCUUUU
rnacentral:snRNA from 1 species